UUUUAAAGUAAAAUAAAAAUAUAUUUUAAAUUCAUUUAUAAUUUCUUUAUUGAUAUUAUGUUUAAUUCAAAUGAGUUCAUUUCUGAGAUGUCAAAAUACCCCUUGAUGUAUUGGCAAGUUAAUAGGAACAAAUUCCCUCUCCUAUCAAUAUGAUGAUCUUCUAAUCAUAAAACUUCCAUGUCCUGAUCGAGCAAUAUCUUGCACAACAUUAGCUCCUGUAGAAAGACUAUUUACAAUUGCUGUUUUCAGACCAGAAGAUUCAGACUAUUAUUGACAAAACAUUAAAAUAACUAUAUUAAAUGAUUAUCAAAUUCAAC
rnacentral:lncRNA from 1 species